rnacentral:rRNA from 1 species
UACGAAGGGGGCUAGCGUUGUUCGGAAUUACUGGGCGUAAAGCGCGCGCAGGCGGUCCUUUAAGUCGGGGGUGAAAGCCCAGAGCUCAACUCUGGAACUGCCUUCGAAACUAGAGGACUUGGGUACGGGAGAGGUGAGUGGAAUUCCGAGUGUAGAGGUGAAAUUCGUAGAUAUUCGGAAGAACACCAGUGGCGAAGGCGGCUCACUGGCCCGUUACCGACGCUCAGGCGCGACAGCGUGGGGAGCAAAC